rnacentral:rRNA from 1 species
GUGUCAGCCGCCGCGGUAAUACGUAGGGGUCGAGCGUUGUCCGGAUUUAUUGGGCGUAAAGGGUGGGCAGGUGGCCGGGGAUGUGCCGUGUGAAAGCGCCGUAGUUAUGACGGCGAGGUCGCGGUAGACACUCCGGCUUGAGGCAGUGAGGGGGCGGUGGAAUUCCCGGUGUAGUGGUGAAAUGCGUAGAUAUCGGGAGGAACACCAGUGGCGCAAGCGGCCGCCUGGCACUGACCUGACACUGAGCCACGACGGCGUGGGGAGCAAACGGGAUUAGAAACCCUCGUAGUCC